UMGCAGCGGUCCAAGUCGCMRMCMKUUUUAUUGGGUCUAAAACAUCCGUAGCUUGCUUAAUAAGUCUCCUGUGAAAUUUUAUGUYUUAAAUAUAAAACGUGCGGGGGGUACUGUUAAGCUAGAGACUGGAAGACGUAAGAAGUGCGUUUGGAGUAGCGGUUAAAUGUGUUAAUCCCAAACGAACUAACAACAGCGAAGGCAUCUUACGAGGACAGUUCUGACAGUAAGGGAUGAAGGCUAGGGGCGCAAAACGGAUUAGAUACCCGUGUAGUCCUAGCAGUAAACACUGCACACUAAACAUUAGUACCUCCUCGAGAGGUAUUGGUGCUGAAGGGAAGCCGGAGAGUGUGCUACCUGGGAAGUAUAGCCGCAAGGCCGAAACUUAA
rnacentral:rRNA from 1 species